AAUUUCACUGAAAAACACCCACGUAUGGUUUUUGUUUUAAACUUGAACCACAAAUGUUGCUGAGGUGGAUUUUAACAAGGUACAUCCUCCCGAAUCACUAGGACUUGAGUAAUAAUAAAGCAAGAGGGACAGCUAUAUUCAACUAAGCAUCCAUUAUAUGUCAAGGACAGAGAAGAAGGUGACCUCUAUAAAAGUAGGAAACAUCUUCUCACAUCAUAAACUUAUUUUUCUUCUCUGCUGGCUUAAGAAUUUGGAAAGAGCACAUCAAGUUUUCAUCAACACCCAUCAUAGCACCAGCAUUGUCAAACUCGCCGCAGUAAUUGGGAGCUGAAAAAAUGGUGACAAGCUGCCUGUCAGCAAAGAAUUCAUAACCAUCCUCCACGACCUGAUGGGCACGACAGACAAGGUCCAAGUCAUGCUUUGACAAAAACUCAGAAACUUUAUCAGGACCAAAGGUGUAUGAAACUCCCCUAUCAUUCAUCCCCCAACCCUUUACAUCUUUACCAGGAUCUGACCAAAGUAAAUCGCAAAGCAAACCAGUGUCCGGGAUGGCAGUUGGACGUGGUAAGUUCCGAAUCUGAUCCAAACUAGAAAGAUCAGGGGACAGACCCCCAUGCAUGCAUAAUAUCUUCUCAUCGAUAAGUGCUGCUACAGGAAGACAAUUAAAACAGUCUGUAAAGGACUUCCAUAGUUUCACAUUGAACCGACGCUUACACUCAUCAUAGAAUCCAUAUAUCCUAUUUAUAGAAGCA
rnacentral:misc_RNA from 1 species